rnacentral:rRNA from 1 species
GAUGAACGCUAGCUACAGGCUUAACACAUGCAAGUCGAGGGGAAACGACAUCGAAAGCUUGCUUUUGAUGGGCGUCGACCGGCGCACGGGUGAGUAACGCGUAUCCAACCUGCCCACCACUUGGGGAUAACCUUGCGAAAGUAAGACUAAUACCCAAUGAUAUCCCACGAAGACAUCUGAAUGGGAUUAAAGAUUUAUCGGUGAUGGAUGGGGAUGCGUCUGAUUAGCUUGUUGGCGGGGUAACGGCCCACCAAGGCAACGAUCAGUAGGGGUUCUGAGAGGAAGGCCCCCCACAUUGGAACUGAGACACGGUCCAAACUCCUACGGGAGGCAGCAGUGAGGAAUAUUGGUCAAUGGGCGAGAGCCUGAACCAGCCAAGUAGCGUGCAGGAAGACGGCCCUAUGGGUUGUAAACUGCUUUUAUAAGGGAAUAAAGUGGGUCACGUGUGACUUUUUGCAUGUACCUUAUGAAUAAGGACCGGCUAAUUCCGUG